CUCCUGUUGGUCCAUGGUGCUGCAGGCAAUGCACUUGGGUGCUGGCGACGAGGGGGAUUCUGCUCCUGGCGUUCUUGCCCCUUUAGUACACGUUUUGUUGGAAUUUGUGCAGGAGAAUCAUUCUGCUGCAAAAGUCGCUCUGGAUGAAACCCUGAAAUUCCCAAGCAGGAAAUGACCCUCGCUUCUGGCUGAUGUCCCCACCUGCUGAUGUGCCCAUGUGCUGAUGUCCCCAUGUGCUGAUGUCCCCUGGCCUCGGUGGCUGUGCCGUGCCCAGCUGGGCUGACAGCAGCAGUGGCAGCUGCUCCUGCUGGCUGCUGCUGGGCUGGAGCCCUGUGGUGCCAGCCCUGGUGUCUUUGGGACAGGGGCUGCUUUUCCCACCUUGA